AACAACUCCUUCUAACUCGACUCAAGAAAAGACUGCACCAGUGCGUAGACGUCGUCAUAUUCGGCAUGCUAGUGAUCGUAAUAAUAAUAAUAUUAGAUUUGGAAGGUCAGUAGCAGCUUUUCUACCAGCACGUGUUGGAGAUGCAGGAGAAGUACUGCAAUUGGCUCAUGAUCAGGGUAAUCUAUCACAGACUGUUUCGAAUAACACAGUGUCAUUGAAUAGUACAGCAUUGUUAGUAGAUGUUUUGAUAAGAUGGGUUACUGGGCAAAAACAUGUUCCUACUACAUCAGCUGCAGACCUUACUCGAGAUCAAAAAGUAUUAAUUCAUGCAUUGAAUAAUCAUCCUAAUUUUGACGAUUACAUGGCUGCUUUUCAUCCUAAUAGUCGUUUAGAAGAUGUUUCUAUUUCUAGUAGCAAUAUAACUCGAAGGCUAUAAGUAAACAAUUACAGGCCUACUGAUUUUUUGUGUCGGUAGGCUACUUUCUCUCUUCUUAAUAGAC